rnacentral:rRNA from 2 species
AAAUUGAAGAGUUUGAUCAUGGCUCAGAUUGAACGCUGGCGGCAGGCCUAACACAUGCAAGUCGAACGGUAACAGGAAACAGCUUGCUGUUUCGCUGACGAGUGGCGGACGGGUGAGUAAUGUCUGGGAAACUGCCCGAUGGAGGGGGAUAACUACUGGAAACGGUAGCUAAUACCGCAUAACGUCGCAAGACCAAAGAGGGGGACCUUCG